rnacentral:lncRNA from 1 species
UGACCUUGUCCUAAUACGAUUAAGGGCUGAGCGGUUCCCUCGCAAUAGUUAUCAAAAACUUUAUCCAUGAACAGCAGGGCCAUUCAAGAUUCUUAGGCGUUUGGGGCCAAACGUAUAUGUGCUAGAAUUAUCCGAGGACCUCCAGAUUAGCCCCAUUGUCAACGUAGAAGACUUGCAGCUGUAUGAAGGGCACCAUUCAUAAAAGG